UUAAAACUUUAUUUGAUUGAAAAAAUAUUGUAUUUUUUUUUUUUACACGUUUUGAUUUGUGUGGUAAGAAAAUCGCUUUUUUUAAUUCACUUGAAGUUUAAACGCGUAUUUUUAAAGCUUUAAAGAAGAGCUCUAGAAAAGGAAAUGAAUGUGAAAUACAUUUUUCUUUUAUGUUUCACAAUACAUUUCUUGGUAAUUACAAAUGUUGCUGGUGAGCCCAACCCAGAAAAACAGGUUAUAGACGUAGUUUACGAUGCAGCUAUAAAGCAUUUAGACCGCGGUUCACUUACUGCGGGUCAGUUGGUGAAAAUGUUGGGGAGCAAUGCAUCAUUAUUAACGCAGUAUUCGUCAGAAAAACGAUUGUCUUCGAAGGAAACAGUAAACAUAAGUCGAGAUCUAUUCGAGAAAAUUGUGAAGUACGUAAGCGAAAAAACGGGCAAGACAGUAUCAGAAGUUGUGUCAUCAUUCAAGUGACAGAAUGAUUCAAUACGUUAUGUAUUACGGCUACUAUUAUUGUUAAUACUAUAUUAGAUAGUUGAUAAAUAAGUUAACAUUCGGUUAAGUUGACAUUAUCAAUCAUCCAAUAUUUAACGUUCAUUCUCAUUUUCUAUGUAUUACAGAUUUUUGGGAAAUAUUUUCAUUGUGUGGUUAUUAUCUGGUAUUCAAAAAAUUAUAAAUCCAGUAUAGGAUUACUACCUACACCUACCAAGUCUAUCCCUAGUCUAUAGAUAACUAGUCUAUAUAUAACUAGAUAAACAUAAUUUAAUAAAAAAGUUAUAGACAAAUUAAGUCGCUUUCUGAUUUUAAAAAUGUAUUCAUUCGACUUUUUAAUUAAACAAUUUGUUUUCAAACAACAGUUUAUA